UGGCUGUCCUGGAACUCACUCUGUAGACCAGGCUGGCUUCGAACUGACAGAGAUCUGCCUGCCUCUGCCUCUCGAGUGCUGGGAUUAAAGGCAUGUGCUAGCACCGCCUGGCCAACAAUGAAAUUUCCCGCAGUGAAGAGAACCAGUAAGAACUGUGUGAUUCACACAGAAUAUCAAACUUUGCCUUCAUUCAUUCUACCAGGAAACGACUGAAGGAACAAAAAAUUCCUGCGACAAAAUCGACUGGAGGAAGCAGGGCGUGGCGGCGCACUGCCAGGUAGAGGCAGGCAGAUCUCUGUGAGCUCCACGAGGUCUACCAGAGCAAGUUCUCGGACUACGUAGAGAGACCAUGUGCCAAAAAUCAAACGAACAAAAAGGAGGAAAGAAGUUGUUUUCUUCUGGAAUGCCUCGUGCCUUGUUUUCUUAAACUGCUCGGUCAGCAAGGAGUCUUUAUCUGUUGGACGAAACUUCCCCAAAUCUGGCAAGUGUAUGUUCUCAUGAUUGGUGGAAGAGAGCCUGGUGCACCAGAAAGAGCACUUGGAAGCAGAAGAUCCGGGUUUGGGGUGGUAGCUGGUAGGCAACUGGCCGAAUGACCGAGGUUGCUGCUUACAGAUUUUUGAGUGUUCCGAGCACCGCAGCGAUGGUGACACUCUCUGCAGGUCCAGCAGAUGAGACGACAGCAUGCUGCCUUGACUUACCAUCUUGUCACAGAUCUGCAGGGCACCUGCCGCCAAACAAGCUGCCUGCCGAAUUGCUAUGAACUCAUCAGAGAAGCAGCUCAGGAAGCUUGGGAGAAGCUUGGCUGUCAUGAGCUUGAGCACACGGAUCAGGGAGAGGGCCUCAAUCCGUUCCUGGGAAUUUCCUUGACUCAGCUUAAUCCUGUAAGACACAAGUGACUUUUAUUUCCCUUAAACUUUUCUGUGCCUUGUUCCCUUCCACCAUGCCCUCAGGAUAGAAUCCUAGCCUGUGGGUCCAGUUUUGUAGACAUACCUUUAUAACCAUUUACAUUUGACUGGGUUCAGACCUCAGGUGCCUUAUUUUCCUGAACUCCUGUUACCUAGCAUAUGGUAGACAUUCAGGUGUCUUGAACAACCAAAUAAAGGAAAGUGUCAGCUUGUCCUCCUCUUACCAAUACAGUGCUCAUUUUGGCAGUUGUCUCCUAGCCUGGAAUGCCUGUAUCUCUGAGGAACUUGGCCUUACUACCCACACUGAGUAUCCCAUUUUUCUAUAGCAGCUAUGGUAUAUGCCAUUGUACUAGUUUAGCAUGGUUUGGUUUUUUAAAAUUAGGUAUUUUGUAUAUUUUGUAUAUUGUGUUUGUGUUCAUCAGAAUUGUGUCUUCCCUAAAAUAAAGGCGUGCACCACCACGGCCCAGCUGGGAUUGAACUUUUUGCAGUGGAUCUAGCACGAUGCUGAUCAUACAUGGAACUCAGCAGAUGCUGGCUGGCUGCAGGUCACCCAGGCACUCCUAAGAAAGGAAGAGCUUCUGAGCUCGCAGUGACUGAAUCUUACCUGAUCAUGUCAUGCACCUCUUUCCCAAGGUUCAUUUGCCCCAGUGCUUUGGCAGCCGCUUGCCUUACUUCCUUGUUCCAGUCGUUCCACAUCAGCUGGAUAAGCUUAUGUUUCAUAUCCUACCAAUAGGUAUGAUAAUUGGCUCAUUCAUUUUGUCCUUGACACCAAGUUUUUUUCUAUCCUUUAAUCUCUCAGUUUGGUUGGGCAGAUGAUAUUUCUAUGUACAGAUGACACAGUGGGGACUUUGAUUAACUUGCCCGAGGAUAAUCUGCUAAGUGCUUAUGCCUGGUCUUAGACCCCAGGUCUGUUUCCCAAAUUCAUCUCUUAAACUCCUGUGUUAUGUUGGUACCAACACGAAUGUAAGAGACUUGAAAUUUGAAAAUAUUGCAUAAUUGAGUAAUCCCUCAUUCCAGAUUGCCUGAGACUUCCAUGUCCUGUACAAAGCAGGACAGUUGGUCACUGCAUCAGGGUGUUCUCUCUUACUGGAAGGGAGAACAUUACUGCAGUUUGAAUGAUAAUACUAUAACUGUGUAAACUAGCUUCUGAGCCUGAAACAUUGAUCUUUACCUCCAUCUGGUACCAGGUAUUUUUCUAUUUAGAACUCAGCUCAAAAGACACCUCCCUAGUAAAGUCUCAUGUGCCUCCCGUAAGCAUAAGAAAUCCCUCUGUAUACUAUAGUGUCUUACAGCUCUCUUGUUAUAGCUAGUUAGCAUUACCAAGGUAAGAUACAGUUCUGCACCACUAAUGCCCUCAUAAUGCUUACCAAUGUAGAGGGGGUGUGGUCAGAAAUUGCUAGCUUAUUGAAUGACUAAAAGAACUCAGGCACAUUGCCCUUUUAAAUUCCUGCGUCUAUGAUGAAGUCCUCAUCAUCUGUAACUUGUGCACAGCUGUGUGUUUUAGCAGAGGAAACUACAGCAUAUGAGAAAGAAUCAACCUGUUUUCAAACCUCUUCAGGUUAUUGUGCAUUUUUUGGUAAGGGUUAAGAAUGGAGGGCACCGCUUUUAAGCAGCAAUAGCCGUGUCCGGGGCUGUACUGACAGUAUCCAGUGUGAGCAAGAGAUGGGGCCGCUCUAAGGAAGAAGGGACUGAUUCCACGUGGACAGCUAGUGAUUAGAAUGCAAUAGUAAAAAGAGGUUCAGGUUUCACUUGCUCAGAAUUUCUUCCUCAGUUGUAGCCAAGUUCCACACCUUCAAGUUGUUCAACCACCAACAUUCAGUAGUACACACCAGUCUCCUAAAAGUUUCAUGAGAGUUGUGGGAGCCUGUGUAAGAAAGCUGUGAACUGUGGAUGGGCCAGAGUGCAGAAUGUUCUUCCUACAAGGGGGCCUUCUAGAAAGAACUGCAUAAACUAUGAUAAGUCAGUGCACUUGAAAGCAAGGACAUGAAGGGAAUGCUCAUCUCUGCGGGAGAAGCAAAGGCCUGAGAAGACUAUUGGCUCUGCUCACAUGGCCAAAGAUGACAGGACAGCACCAGGUGCACUCCCUCAUUGUACUUGAAUGUGCUUAAGCUCACUGUAAAUGUUACCUUAUGUUUUGCUUGCUUUAAUAAUAAAAAUGAGAAGUGCUUUGUUGGUGUUAUUCAAGUUCAAAAGUGUAUAGUUCCCUGGUACUCCAUACAGGUCUUUGGCAUGUUCUUUGAUCCAGGGAGUCAAUCUCGCUGGCCACCAGAGAGGUCAACAUCAAUUCAUUUGUAUUGUUAGUUUUGUUGCUCCAGUUGUAAUGCCAUUGUUUUUGAAAGCAGGGUCCAUGUAUUUACAUGUAUGUGCUGAAUAUUCAGGGAACCAACACAGGCAUUUGUUUAGUUGGAUUGUUGGGUCCUUUCAGUCUGCUUCUCAAAUCAAGGACCAAUAUUCAGCAUAGGGUGAGGGAGGAAUGCAUACAUCACUGACUGAUACUUUUAUAAUGUCUACUGAUAUUGAAAUAGUGUCAGAUUAUUAUUAAGUUUAUAAGCUCCCUCUCUUGGUUUAUAUGCAUAUUUGAUAGUGGCUGUGUCACAGUUAGUGGAUUGCCAACCCUCUAAGAAACACUGGUUUAAAAUGAGAGAAGCACAUGAUACUUCAAGUUAUGAAUUAGAAGCAGCAAUGAGAUCCUAGACAGAAGAAAAAAGUCAGAAGACUCCAGGCCAACUUUGCCAGGCUCUCUGGGAGCAAAGACAGAAGACUUACUAUGCAGAUAUUUCCACUGAUCCGGGAGAAAGCGCGGCAGGCCAUGAUGCGGUCCUUCCAUUGCCUGCUGUUCAGCUCCACAGCGAGCAUUGUGUGGAUCAGGGUCUGAGGAAAAGGAUGACUUGCAUGGAUAGUCUCUCUUACUCUUAGAGAUUCUAGAAUCUUGAAGAAAUUAUAUCCUAACUAUGACAUCCAGCAUAGUAAAUGCCUCAAGGUCACGAAAUAUUUGUUCCUAUUAAGGGGCAGAGUGGGUUUAUAAGAGAUGGGGCACUCUUCUACCCAAGCAAUCUGGCUUGAGUUAUAAACCAUAAAGAAAAUACAGGUCUGAUAAUCUGAGCAGAAAAUGAGUGCCUUCCCUUCUGACUAUUUCCAGUCCCUGGGAUGAUGGUUUCUAUCUGCCUCAGUCUGCGUGGAGUCUCAUGUUUCUGCCCCAAAUAAACGGAGUUGUGGGGGUCUCAGUGAUAAGCCUCCAUGUUUGCAUGUCAUGAUUCAACCUUUAUGCAGCCAGAAACUUCUCAGCUAGCACCUCAUAUCCCCCUGUACACUUCUCCAUGUCCAGUUUUACGCAGACUUGGUGUACUUGGCCUAUGCUUAACAUCAUUCUCAGCCACCUGCAUUCUUGAUUCCUUGUGUGCACCAACUAUAGAUACUUAUUCCUCAAGACCUCAUUUUCUUCUCUCUCUGAAGUGCACACAUACCGUCUUUCCACUGAGAUGGCUCAGGAGAAUAUAGGACUGUUCCUCAGUAGCUUCAUUCUUCUUAUUAAAGAGUUGGUAGAGGAUCCUUUUAAUCACUGGGUACGUAGCAAUGCCUUCCAGAGCCAAGCACUGAGCUGCAGCCCAGCUGUCCACACUAUUACCUGACCGGUGGGUUGAAAAAAAAUUAGUUCAGAAUGUUUUCUCCUAAAGAGAACAUUUGAAUUGAUAGCUAUGACUGCUAACUACCUGAUAGGUGAGACACUUUCCAGUGUCCUACCAAGUCUAGAAAUCCACUCCCAUUUCAACCAUACGUUAACAUUUUAAAUAAAAACAAAACCUGCAAAACUUUUUUUUUUUAAAUUUUUGAAGACAGAAUUUCAUUUAGUUCAGGUUAGCCUGGCAGAGAUGACUUUGAGCUUUUUGGGCAACGGCAGUACUACGGAUAGAAUCCAGGGCUCAGUGCAUGUGGUAUAAAGCCCUGUGCUUCCAAGCUAUAGCUCCGAUCCUGACCUUGACUUCUGAUCCCCUUGCCUUUACCUUUCAAUUGCUAGAAUUAAAGGUGUGUGCCAUGAGGCUCGACUAAAACAUUAGAAGCUCCUCUUGGGUAACACUUCCGACAUAGCUAAGAAACGCAGCUGUUUCUGUGGAGAUGGGGAAGGCCCUUCCUAAAACAGAUGAAUUAAGCAGUGGAUUGUUCAUAUACAGAAGGCCAGACCAGCCAGUUUUCCCGUGCUAAGGCAAGGAACAGCUAGCUCAUCUCCAGACAGGUCAGUGGCCUCGCCUGACAGCCUUGUUAACUCCAAUAUGAUAAUGCCUAGGUGGUACUGUGCAGAAAUUGGAAGCAUGAUGUGUUCAGGAGGUGAUUUAAAAAAAAAAACUUUCAAAGUGUACUUAACUAUUGUUACGCUAUCUUUUCAAUAAUAAAAUGUUAUGUAUUGUUGUGUUUA